GUGGGGAAUUUUGGACAAUGGGGGCAACCCUGAUCCAGCCAUCCCGCGUGUGCGAUGAAGGCCUUCGGGUUGUAAAGCACUUUUGGCAGGGAAGAAAAGUUUCGGGCUAAUACCCUGGAGCGAUGACGGUACCUGCAGAAUAAGCACCGGCUAACUACGUGCCAGCAGCCGCGGUAAUACGUAGGGUGCAAGCGUUAAUCGGAAUUACUGGGCGUAAAGCGUGCGCAGGCGGUUCGGAAAGAAAGAUGUGAAAUCCCAGGGCUUAACCUUGGAACUGCAGUUUUAACUGUCGAACUCGAGUAUGUCAGAGGGGGGUAGAAUUCCACGUGUAGCAGUGAAAUGCGUAGAGAUGUGGAGGAAUACCGAUGGCGAAGGCAGCCCCCUGGGAUAAUACUGACGCUCAUGCACGAAAGCGUGGGGAGCAAACAGGAUUAGAAACCCCAGUAGUCC
rnacentral:rRNA from 1 species